rnacentral:rRNA from 1 species
CGUACACUCCUACGGGAGGCAGCAGUGGGGAAUUUUGGACAAUGGGCGAAAGCCUGAUCCAGCCAUGCCGCGUGCAGGAUGAAGGCCUUCGGGUUGUAAACUGCUUUUGUACGGAACGAAACGGCCUUUUCUAAUAAAGAGGGCUAAUGACGGUACCGUAAGAAUAAGCACCGGCUAACUACGUGCCAGCAGCCGCGGUAAUACGUAGGGUGCAAGCGUUAAUCGGAAUUACUGGGCGUAAAGCGUGCGCAGGCGGUUAUGUAAGACAGUUGUGAAAUCCCCGGGCUCAACCUGGGAACUGCAUCUGUGACUGCAUAGCUAGAGUACGGUAGAGGUGGAUGGAAUUCCGCGUGUAGCAGUGAAAUGCGUAGAUAUGCGGAGGAACACCGGUGGCGAAGGCAAUCCCCUGGACCUGUACUGACGCUCAUGCACGAAAGCGUGGGGAGCAAACAGGAUUAGAAACCCUAGUAGUCCCA